rnacentral:misc_RNA from 1 species
GAUGAAGAACGCAGCGAAAUGCGAUAAGUAAUGUGAAUUGCAGAAUUCAGUGAAUCAUCGAGUCUUUGAACGCACAUUGCGCCCCCUGGUAUUCCGGGGGGCAUGCCUGUCCGAGCGUCAUUGCCGCCCUCAAGCACGGCUUGGGUGUUGGGCCCCCGCCCCCCGGCUUCGGGGGGCGGGCCCGAAAGGCAGCGGCGGCACCGCGUCCGGUCCUCGAGCGUAUGGGGCUUCGUCACCCGCUCUGUAGGCCCGGCCGGCGCCCGCCGGCGACCCCAAUCAAUCUUUCCAGGUUGACCUCGGAUCAGGUAGGGAUACCCGCUGAACUUAAGCAUAUCAAUAAGCGGAGGA